rnacentral:rRNA from 1 species
CCUACGGGAGGCAGCAGUGGGGAAUAUUGGGCAAUGGAGGCAACUCUUACCCAGCAAUGCCGCGUGAAUGAAGAAGGUCUUCGGAUUGUAAAGCUCUUUAAUUGGGGACGAAAAAAAUGACGGUACCCAAGGAAUAAGCCCCGGCUAACUACGUGCCAGCAGCCGCGGUAAUACGUAGGGGGCAAGCGUUGUUCGGAAUGACUGGGCGUAAAGGGUGUGUAGGCGGUGUAGCAAGUUAGAAGUGAAAUACCUAGGGCUUAACUCAGGUGCUGCUUCUAAAACUGCUAUACUUGAGUGCAGUAGAGGAAAGUGGAAUUCCUAGUGUAGCGGUGGAAUACGUAGAUAUUAGGAGGAACAUCAGUGGCGAAGGCGACUUUCUGGACUGUAACUGACGCUGAGGCACGAAAGUGUGGGGAGCAAACAGGAUUAGAUACCCGGGUAGUC